ensembl:lncRNA
AGAGAGAGAAAAAGGGUGAAAGGGAAGUGAGAAAGAGAGAGAGAGAGGGGGAGAGGGUGUGAGAGAGAGAAAAAGGGUGAAAGGGAAGUGAGAAAGAGAGAGAGAGAGGGGAGAGGGUGUGAGAGAGAGAAAAAGGGUGAAAGGGAAGUGAGAGAGAGAGAGAGGGGGAGAGGGUGUGAGAGAGAGAAAAAGGGUGAAAGGGAAGUGAGAAAGAGAGAGAGAGAGGGGGAGAGGGUGUGAGAGAGAGAAAAAGGGUGAAAGGG